rnacentral:rRNA from 1 species
ACACUAAAAGCUCGCUCCCACCAAAUUACUGAUCAAUUAAACUAAUCAUAAUUUUCAGAGAAGUACAGGUGAUAGAACCUCGAGAAAGGAGCAAUAGAAAAAUAGUAUCGCAAGAGAACGCUUCUAAUAAGUUUAAGAAGAGAUUAACCCUCGUCCCUUGUGUAUCAUGGCUUAGCAACCUAAUAAGUUAAAUUAUUAUUCCCGAAACUCAGUGAGCUACUAACCCCCAGUUUAGAACUAAUCAAUUCUUGUGGAAAAAAGAUUGAAAGAGGCUUUAGUAGAGACUAGAUAUCUGUCGCACUGAGUAAUAGCUGGUUUCUGGGGAAAUAUAUCGAAGUAUAGGGGAAGUAACAAUUCCACCUCUUGCUCAGGGGACAACCUCUAAGCAAUAUGAGUUCUGCAAUUUUUAACCUUGAUCAUACUCUAGGCUUAAAAACAGCCCUGAUAAGAAAACAAGUUUCAUUGUAUCGAGAAAUAUAGGUAUAAUUAUAAAUACGCAACCUUCAAGUACCCAGAAAUUCCGAUCAACAUCUAUCGGAGGAUAUUCUGCUAAGACGAGUAUAGGGCUAUAAGAGUCGAAAGACCCGUAAAAGCACUAAGAAAAUACAGAUAAGGAACUCGGCAAACACAAGCUCCGCCUGCUUAUCAAAAGCAUCGCCAUUCGCCAUCAUGAAAGGUAAGGCCUGCCCAGUGGGAAUCUCAACGGCUGCGGU